AAGUUGGAUAGCCUGCUAGCGCAACAACCCACUGCAUGAUGAAUCGAGGCGCUGAAAUGAUCUGACAACUGUGCAGUGGGCUUUGUUUAUUCGUGUUAUGAUGAUGCCCACAUAUGCAUCUAACAUUUUCCUUUCAAAAUUUAACUCAAUUAACUUUAAAAUCGCCAGACUAAACAUAUCCACGGCAAAGUAUCCAGUCCUUGUCCUAUUGAAGUGGAGAAACUCACAUAGACUUUCCUCUGACGGAAACUCAAUUUCAACAAAAAAGCCAGACCCCUAUAAUUUGUGUUGUAUCUCCCCCUAGUGGCAAAAUAGAAAACAUGAACCAGCGCAAAUGUUAACCAAGGAUAUCUGUGAUAUUAAAACACACUACUGUUAUUUUCUGCAGGUGUGCAGAAUGGAUUAAUAACAUCAGGCGGGAGGACCUAUGUGGUUUACAGACCGAUGAAAUGAAGCAUAGGAAAGUAUGCAGUGACCAUUUCGCCAUUUCACAAUUUGUGAACCCAUUGGACAGGAAAUCUGGCCUACUGCCAAUGGCCGUACCCUGGCUAGUAGACUGUCCCAACCCCCCUAAAUCUCAAGACACAGUUCGUCCACCACCCCGAAAACGGGUCGCACUUGAAAUUGAGACAACAGACUCAGAGAUCCUGGAUAGUAAGUGAUUUAAUGGCAAAUGGUGGUAACAGAUACAUUCUGAGUGUUGAACACUGCAUAGGUAGUAGUCUGUGCAUAAGUCUGUUGUUACAGUUGUCACAUUUCUUUUUAGGCACUGAUGUACUGGCCAGUGUCAGCAAUGACAACACAGUGGAAAAACUGAAAAGAAAAAUUGGCUGCUACAAAUCAAAGCAAGGCUAAAGAAAAAGACACCAUCUAUCAGCAAACAAACAUUAAAGAGGGAAAUUUCCAAAGUAUUGCCAAAACAAGCCGCACAAUUUGUCAACGAGCAAAUUGAUAAUGCCAAAAAAAAAAACCAAGGGCCAUUCGGUGGAGCAACUUCAUGAAAAGUUGGGCGUUACAGGUUAAGGGUACAGGGCCAAAAGCCUACCGAACCAUGAGGAGAAUUUUCAAGCUCCCUACAGCCAGGACCCUUUCAAAUAUCUUGCAGAGAGUAGACAUCGGGCCGGGAUGGCAUGAACCUGUGCUGUAUGCACUUAAACAUCAAGUGCAGCAUAUGGAAGAGCGAGAUAGGCACGUUGCCAUCACAUUUGAUGAAAUUACAUUGAAAUGUAGCCUAAAUUAUAACAUCUCGAAAGAUGAAGUAGAAGGGUAUGACGAAGGGGGAAGACCAGCCAACCAUGCAGGGGUUUUCAUGAUCCGUAGUCUAACUGGGAAAUGGAAACAACCCAUAGGGUACUUCUUGUCAUCUGGGACCAUGAAGCAUGGGGUCUUAAAAACCAAAAUCAUGGAGGCGGUGGAAAAGGUGCUUGACACUGGCUUCACUCCCAUGGUGCUGGUAAUGGACCAAGGCAGCAACAACCUGGCAGCCUGUAGAAACCUGGGUAUAACAGAAGAAAAACCGUACUUCUUUGUCAAAAGCCAGAAGAUUCAUUUUUUAUUCGACCCCCCCCCAUUUAAUGAAAAACAUCAGAAACAAUUUGCGAAAAUAUGGAUUUUACAUAGGGGACAAAUUGGCAGAAUGGGGAGACAUCACUGAAAUGUUUAAAAUUGAUUCACAAAGACAACACCGAAUGGCACCCAAGUUAACCCAACGGCAUCUGUCCCUCACUGCCUUUUCAACAAUGAGUGUGCCUCUCGCCACUCAGGUUCUUAGUCAUUCUGUUGCGGCUGCACUGCUCACCAUGGCAGACAUGGGGAAGCUAAGAGAGGGGGCAAAAACGACGGCAGAUUUUGUAGCCCACUUUAACCAGAUGUUUGACUGCUUUAACAGUAGCACAUUGUCCAGCAGCACACCACAAAAGGAUGCCUUCAGAGAGACACAUAUUGAUUUUAUCAAUGAGAGUAUUAACUGGCUGGCAUCUGUCAGAUGUGCCAGUGGCAACAGCUUGAAUUGCCUAAAUGGUUGGAGGCAUAACCUAAGAGCAAUCAAGGAAAUCUGGGCUGAAUUGAAAGGUAGCAGCAAUAAGGCAUAAUUAUUCAAAUUGAGCUUUGCUAAUGCUAAUGAGCUUUGUCCACCACUGCAUGUUUUCUGCUGUUGGCCAAUGUACUGUUUGUCAUUUGCAUUCACAGAGAAAGGAUUUCAGUUUCUAUUUACGAGGCACCUCAACCAGGACUGCCUGGAACACUUCUUUGGGGUGAUCAGAGCGAAGGGCGGGCACAGGGACAAUCCAGACCCUCAGCAAUUCCGAUUAGACUACAGGCAGGCCGUGCUAGACUAUCUAAUGACAUUUGGGAGAAAUACAAAUUGCGAACCGGAGGAAAUACACCUAUUGCUGCAAUUGUCCCAUUUGUUUGAGGUAGACGAAACACCCUUUCAAAAACAAAAGUGUCACACAUGAUUAGUAUACUGUAAGUCUGUAAUCUUUUGCAAUGAUUUUGUAGAGCUGCACUGAGUCAUCGCAGAUGGCAACUCCCCAUCCAUGCACCGCACUGACCAUGCCUCACGAGGUACACGAAACACCCUUUCAAAAACAAAAGUGUCACACAUGAUUAGUAUACUGUAAGUCUGUAAUCAUUUGCAAUGAUUUUGUAGAGCUGCACUGAGUCAUCGCAGAUGGCAACUCCCCAUCCAUGCACCGCACUGACCAUGCCUCACGAGGUACACGAAACACCCUUUCAAAAACAAAAGUGUCACACAUGAUUAGUAUACUGUAAGUCUGUAAUCAUUUGCAAUGAUUUUGUAGAGCUGCACUGAGUCAUCGCAGAUGGCAACUCCCCAUCCAUGCACCGCACUGACCAUGCCUCACGUACAGUCUACUGAUGAGGAACCCACAUUCCCUGGACUGGACAACACAGAGUUCAUGAAGGGGCUGGACGUCAUUGAGGGCAAUGUGUCAGUGUACCUUGCUGGCUAUGUGGCCUUCAGAGCCUCUGCCAAAUUUGAUUGCAAGAGUUGUGUUACGCUGUGGGAGGCAAACGAGGAGGACAGAGAUACACUCAAGGAGAAAUACACCUUUUUCAGAUAUAAGCAGUUCAGGGAUGGGUUAUUCCCACCAAGUGUUGUAUUACAGCGUACAACAGAGCAAAUUGAACACAUUUUUAGAUGCCAAUACCCCCACAUUUCUAAAGGGAAACAUGUCCUGGCACUCUUAAAAUCUGCAGUAUAUCAGAGUGUGAAUUUGGAUGCUGUUAUAUGUUCCGCCAGCUGUCUGUCCUGCAAAGAGUUCCUUGUUAAUACAUACUUAUUGAUGAGGAUAAAAUUUCAACUGAAGGUGGGCAAUCAGAACGCCAAAGCCAUGAAAACAAAGAAAUCAAGAAAAUUAAUGAAAUUGACAUCGGAAUUUUGACCCCCCCCCCCCCCCCCCCCCACCCACACACACACACACACCUUUUUUACAUGAUUGGUAUUGAUUCCAGCCCCUGAUCACAGUCAGGAACAAUAAUGUGGCCCCCAGAUUUAAAAAAAAGUUUGGGGACCCCUGGCCUACAGUAGCUUCAGGUUGCAAUGAACGACGGGCUGUGCAUACUGCUGAAGACACCCAGGUGGAGCAGUGCAUGUUAUCUUGCUCCGACAACUAAUUUUUUAAUUAUUUUUUUUUUUACAAGGAAUGUGUAAUCUAUAUAAACAAUGCUAAUUAAAUAAACAUAGCCAUCAUCAAGUUUA